GCAAAACACAAGCUCGUCUGUUUCUGUUUAACUUCGGGAUAUGGGAGUUUUCCCCACAGUUUCUGUUUGACUGGCCUUUCCCACAACACCUAACCCUCCCGGAUUCCCAGAGUUUCCUCCAACAGCCAAUUCCCCUGGCUGUCUUAUUAUCCUGAGGAGUGAGCUGGUCCUAGGUUCUGCAUACUUCCUGGCCUCAGUGACAGGUACGCCUCAUGGAGAAAGAAUCCAGCAACAAGCCAGGACUGCUGCUGGGGAACCUUCAAGAGGAUAUAACUCACGUCUGGGGCUGGAGGUGGCAAUGGAAGGAAGGAGAAGGUGGUGCUGGCAUCAGACAGGAGACUGGCGCCCCAGAUAUUUUGCAGAGAAACUUUCUCCCAGUCUCUACCCCCACCCCUUGCAGUCCUAUAUUCAACAUCUUCCUUCCAAGGCACCUGGUGCCUCAAGGACUGAGCCCCUGUGGUGUCUGAGCAAGUGGUGUGUUUUUCUUGGUUCAAGCCAUAAGAUGGGAACC